rnacentral:rRNA from 1 species
UUGAUCAUGGCUCAGAAUCAACGCUGGCGGCGUGCCUAACACAUGCAAGUCGAGCGAGAAAAGGGGAGCAAUCCCCUGAGUACAGCGGCGCACGGGUGAGUAACACGUGGGUAAUCUGCCCUGGAGUGGGGAAUAACACCGGGAAACCGGUGCUAAUACCGCAUACGAUCACAGAGUCUGCGGAUUUUGUGAUGAAAGGAGCAAUUCGCUCUAGGAGGAGCCCGCGGCUGAUUAGCUAGUUGGUGAGGUAAUGGCUCACCAAGGCAACGAUCAGUAUCCGGUCUGAGAGGACGGUCGGACACACUGGAACUGAGACACGGUCCAGACUCCUACGGGAGGCAGCAGUGGGGAAUUUUUGGCAAUGGGGGCAACCCUGACCAAGCAACGCCGCGUGGGUGAUGAAGUCUCUUGGGACGUAAAACCCUUUCG